AUUGAACGCUGGCGGCAGGCCUAACACAUGCAAGUCGAGCGGAUGAAGGGAGCUUGCUCCUGGAUUCAGCGGCGGACGGGUGAGUAAUGCCUAGGAAUCUGCCUGGUAGUGGGGGAUAACGUCCGGAAACGGGUGCUAAUACCGCAUACGUCCUGAGGGAGAAAGUGGGGGAUCUUCGGACCUCACGCUAUCAGAUGAGCCUAGGUCGGAUUAGCUAGUUGGUGGGGUAAAGGCCUACCAAGGCGACGAUCCGUAACUGGUCUGAGAGGAUGAUCAGUCACACUGGAACUGAGACACGGUCCAGACUCCUACGGGAGGCAGCAGUGGGGAAUAUUGGACAAUGGGCGAAAGCCUGAUCCAGCCAUGCCGCGUGUGUGAAGAAGGUCUUCGGAUUGUAAAGCACUUUAAGUUGGGAGGAAGGGCAGUAAGUUAAUACCUUGCUGUUUUGACGGUACCAACAGAAUAAGCACCGGCUAACUUCGUG
rnacentral:rRNA from 1 species